GAUCCUGGCUCAGAACAACGCUGGCGGCGCGCCUAAUACAUGCAAGUCGAGCGAGAAGGUGUAGCAAUACACUUGUAAAGCGGCGAACGGGUGAGGAAUGCAUGGGUAACCUACCCUCGAGUGGGGAAUAACUAGCCGAAAGGUUAGCUAAUACCGCAUACGUUUCCGGAACUUCGGUUUCGGAAAGAAAGCAAUACCGUGGGUAUUGCGCUCCUGGAUGGGCUCAUGUCCUAUCAGCUUGUUGGUGAGGUAACGGCUCACCAAGGCUUCGACGGGUAGCUGGUCUGAGAGGACGAUCAGCCACACUGGCACUGCGACACGGGCCAGACUCCUACGGGAGGCAGCAGUAAGGAAUAUUGCGCAAUGGACGAAAGUCUGACGCAGCGACGCCGCGUGGGGGAUGAAGGUCUUCGGAUUGUAAACCCCUUUCGGGAGGGAAGAUGGAGUGGGUAACCACUUGGACGGUACCUCCAGAAGCAGCCACGGCUAACUUCGUG
rnacentral:rRNA from 1 species